GUGCAGCAGUCGAGAAACCUCACAAUGUGCGAAAGCACGAUGAGGGAAUCCCAAGUGCUUGCACGUAAGUGUAAGCUGUUUCUCUGUCUAAAACGCAGAGAGAGUAAGGGCUGGGUAAGACGGGUGCCAGCCGCCGCGGUAAUACCUGCAGCUCGAGUGGUGACCGUUAUUAUUGGGCCUAAAACGUCCGUAGCCGGUUUAAUAAAUGCCUGGGUAAAUCGGACCGCUUAACGGUCCGAAUUCCGGGUAGACUGUUAAACUUGAGACCGGGAGAAGUUAGAGGUACUCCUGGGGUAGAGGUGAAAUUCUGUAAUCCUAGGGGACCACCAGUGGCGAAGGCGUCUAACUAGAACGGGUCUGACGGUGAGGGACGAAGCCCUGGGGCGC
rnacentral:rRNA from 1 species